rnacentral:rRNA from 1 species
UACGUAGGGGGCAAGCGUUGUCCGGAAUUAUUGGGCGUAAAGAGCGCGUAGGCGGUCCGGUAAGUCGGUUGUGAAAGUCGGGGGCUCAACCCUCGGAUGCCGAUCGAUACUGUCGGGCUAGAGUCCGGAAGAGGCGAGUGGAAUUCCUGGUGUAGCGGUGUAAUGCGCAGAUAUCAGGAGGAACACCAAUGGCGAAGGCAGCUCGCUGGGACGGUACUGACGCUGAGGCGCGAAAGCGUGGGGAGCAAACAGG